AUGGAAUCGCGUGGAUUUGUCGAGAUUGAAGGGACAAGUCGCACGAGUCGUGAAAAAUGUAAAUACAAGAUGCUAUCGACAGGCUGGCCCGACCUUGCGAGAUCAACAAAGCCAGGAAGAUUGAGAGAAGAAAAUAAGAGUGUAAGCAGCGGUUCAGGUUUUCUGCGCGGAGAGGAUUUUUUCAGGCAGAAAAUUAGAGCUUCGGGCGCUGUUGAAUAUUCAUACAUAUAAACCGGCCGUUGCCGGCAUGCAGGCCCGGCAGCUGCACGACGAAGCAAUGGAUCCCGGAUCAAAGUGCGGUGCACAAACGGAACAUAAUUAAACGAGGAGAUUUCAUUUUCGAGAAAAACGUCGGUCCUCAAAGGGUUGCUAAGUGGCGUUGCAAGCUUAAUGCCGGAAAACUGUUGGAAAAUUGAUCGAGGUAAGAUACGCAACCGUGUCGGCCUUUGUACCGAACCCCCUUCAUUUUGCAUUAAGGAUGCGAAGGCUUUGUGACUGCUGUUUUCAAGCAUGCCGCGUGCUGACUGUUCGCGAAAUAUUGUCACACAGAAUCUUGCUCGGUUAAUUACUUCGUUCAUUAGCAGUCGCGCCGUCCUUUUUAUUUAUGUCCCGAACUUCGUUACCUUAAUUUUUCGAACAAGCGUUCCCGCUGUUAUCCUAUAGAAUUCGUUAGCGCAGGAAUAUACUUUCGGGACAGUAUCACGGAUAAACAUCGCUCUCUCCUAUUUUAUUGUGAAAGCUUUUCGACAACUGUCUGGAAAUGCAAUCUCUUUGUCGUUCUGCUCGCUCGUAUAACCUUUGUCUUUGAUAUUCCUUUAAAUUCCUAAACUCAAACGAUUCGACCGUAUUAUGCGUUAAAUCUUUUAACCAAGCCACUUACUUCGGCA